UACGUAGGGGGCUAGCGUUGCUCGGAAUUACUGGGCGUAAAGCGCACGUAGGCGGCUUUCUAAGUCGGGGGUGAAAUCCUGGAGCUCAACUCCAGAACUGCCUUCGAUACUGGAAAGCUCGAGUCCGGGAGAGGUGAGUGGAACUGCGAAGUGUAGAGGUGAAAUUCGUAGAUAUUCGCAAGAACACCAGUGGCGAAGGCGGCUCACUGGCCCGGUACUGACGCUGAGGUGCGAAAGCGUGGGGAGCAAACAGG
rnacentral:rRNA from 1 species